UCCCUUGAGGACUAGUGGUUAGGCCACUGUGCUCUCACCGCUGCACGCUAGGUUCGAUUCCCAGCCAGGGAA
rnacentral:tRNA from 1 species